rnacentral:lncRNA from 1 species
CCAAGCAGCUGGGAUUACAGGCAUGUGCCACCACGCUCGGCUAAUUUUGUAUUUUUAGUAGCGACGGGUUUCACCAUGUUGGCCAGGCUGGUCUCGAACUCCUGACCUCAGGUGAUCCGCCCGCCUUGGCCUCCCGAAGUGCUGGGAUUACAGGCGUGAGCCACCAUGCCCUGCCACACCCCUAUAAUUUUAUAUCCAACCAAUCAGCAGCACUCAUUUUCUAGCCCCUUGCCCACCAAAUUGUCCGCAAAAACCCUAACCUUCAAGCCUUGGGAGAGACUAAUUUGAGUAGUAACUCCGUCUCAAAUGUGGUUGGCGUCACAUUAAUUAAACUCUUUUUUUAUGGCAAUACCAUGGUCUCAGUGAACUGGUUUUGUCUGUGCAGUGGGCAGGAAGAAUCCAUCAGGCAAUCAAAAUUUCUACUUUUUUUUUUUUUUUUUUUUUUUGAGACAGAGUCUCGCUCCGUCACCCAGACUGGAGUGCAAUGGUGAGAUCUCGGCUCACUGCAACCUCCGCCUCCCGGGGUCAAGCAAGUCUCUUGCCUCAGCCUCCUGAGUAGCUGAGAUUACAGGCAUGCACCACCACGCCUGGCUAAUUUUUGUAUUUUUAGUAGAGAUGGGCUUCACCAUGUUGGUCAGGCUGGUCUCAAACUCCUGACCUCAGGUGAUCUGCCCUCCUCGGCCUCCCAAAGUGCUGGGAUUACAGGCUGAGCCACCGCACCCAGCCCACAUAAUUUUGUAAAAAAAAAUAAUAAUAAUAAGCAGCUCAGAGUAAAAAAGAAAAUGCCUAAGUACACACACAAAAUCCAAGUACCAUGUAUUAGAAGCAGUAUGAACAACAGAUAGAGUGAACAGACUUGCAAAUAGUUCAAUACUGGAAUUUCAGACAUUGAUUUAUAUAAUAAGUAUGUGGCCAGGUGAGGUGGCUCAUGCCUGUAAUCCCAGCACUUUGGGAGGCUGAGGCGGGAAAAUCACCUGACGUCAGAAAAUUGAGACCAGCCUGGCC